rnacentral:rRNA from 1 species
GAUGAACGCUGGCGGCGUGCCUAAUACAUGCAAGUCGAGCGAACAGACGAGGAGCUUGCUCCUCUGACGUUAGCGGCGGACGGGUGAGUAACACGUGGAUAACCUACCUAUAAGACUGGGAUAACUUCGGGAAACCGGAGUUAAUACCGGAUAAUAUAUUGAACCGCAUGGUUCAAUAGUGAAAGACGGUUUUGCUGUCACUUAUAGAUGGAUCCGCGCCGCAUUAGCUAGUUGGUAAGGUAACGGCUUACCAAGGCAACGAUGCGUAGCCGACCUGAGAGGGUGAUCGGCCACACUGGAACUGAGACACGGUCCAGACUCCUACGGGAGGCAGCAGUAGGGAAUCUUCCGCAAUGGGCGAAAGCUUGACGGAGCAACGCCGCGUGAGUGAUGAAGGUCUUCGGAUCGUAAAACUCUGUUAUUAGGGAAGAACAAAUGUGUAAGUAACUAUGCACGUCUUGACGGUACCUAAUCAGAAAGCCACGGCUAACUACGUG